UAUAAGUGUGGUGAUCCUGGGUGCUCGGGUUGUUUUGCUGCUACUUCUCGCUCCUUCCACCAGGGGCCGCCUGGUGGAUGAUCUCUGUUGGGCGUGACCUGGGAUCCUCACACCUGUCGGAGAUUGUCUCAUCUCCGCAGAGGCUUAAGAGUGGAGUCAGCAAACACAUCGAUGUCAGAGUGUUAACCAGUAAUGACUACUCCCUCGUGACGUCGUGGUCCGACCACUCGAGGCUUUUGAGCUCCUGGCUGUACCUGGCGUACUUAUCCCUCGUUGGCUGCCUACCUCGAUCUGCCCCGGUGAGCUGAGGUCCGUAUCUGUCCGCCCUCCAACGCCGUCCGCUGGAUUUUCCCAAAACACCAGCUGGUUCCGCAGCAGAUCCCCAUACCCGAAACCACCCCGGGAAAUCCCAGUAUCCACCCCCGCUUGCCUGCCGCCUGACCUAGUAAGACCGUUGCCGCUCGUUCAGAACUCAAACAUCCCACAGUCCUUGAACUCAUCGCUCAUUCUCUCUUCCAGCCCGCUCCAUUUGCCGCUCCCCCAAGAACACAGUUGAUCUGUACUGUUGUUGUGCUUUAUAUUAAACAUCUUUUACUG